AAUAAAUCUCCUCAAGGGGAGAUCUCCUUGCAGAGGUCGUGUCCCACUUGAGGAGCUCUGAGGAGCUCUGAACCCCCUCAGACGUCAGAGGACGGAUGUCACAGGAAUGCCGGUGAGGGACACGGAGCUCCUCUGUGUUCUCUGCUGCUAAAAAUACAGCGUGGCUAAAGUGACUCCCUGCUCCUCUUUGGGAGUAUUAAAAGCAAUGGAAGCCCCCCCCAUCUACUCCUCCAUCACCCACCCAUCAGCCUCCACCUUUUCCCUUGUUCCCUCCAGCUUCAGACCCCCUGCUGGUGUGACGGUGAGGCUCCUUAUGCGCCAUUGGCUGAAUAGUGAUUCAAGUUCUCACAGCGAGAGUUUAACGUGUGUUGAAUUUCACAGUUGCUUCUGAGAUGGUUUGAGAUGUGAUUUAUCUCCAGAUUCUGUUUCCAUCUCAUCAACGUAGAAAUGAACUCGGUCAGAACCACAAACGGAGCUUCGUUUGCUGUGAGAGAAGAGAUGACGCGUUGGGUUCAAACAUCAUAAUUUAAUUCUAGUUCCACUACAGCAAAGCUCCAAACAACGAGUUCACGGGUUCAUGCAACAUCUACGGUGGAGUCGGGCCGGUUCCCUCGGGGGUUCCAGCGGUUCCCUCCGGCCCACCGAGUCUAAUCCUUCUACCACAAAGACGGACACUCGGGACCAUCUAACAAAGAACAAACUGGACCAAACAAGGAGCUCAUGUUAUCGUCAGAACAACGCGCAGAACCUCGGAUCCAGUUCUGGAGAGACGUCGAGAAUCAGGCAAUCAACAGUGUUCCAUCAGAUAAAUACGGAGGAUCCACAGUGUUCAGAGUCCCAGAGGACGGCAUCGCCACGGCAACGCCACGGCAUCGCCACGGCAUCGCCACGGCAACACCGACCAGGCGGUGGAGCGGGUGGAGCGGCUACAUCAUCCUGGAGGACGUUCCUGAAGGGAAGUGACCCAGGUGCUGCUUCUGCCUCCGACCGCGCUUCGUCUUGUUGCACCGCCUGCAGGACACGACAGGAAGUACAUGACCGUAAGUACACAACCACAGGAAGGUGGAGGAGUAGUGGAGGUGGAGGAGUAG
ensembl:lncRNA